rnacentral:rRNA from 1 species
GGCGCACAGCAGUGGAGUAUGUGGUUUAAUUCGAAGCAACGCGAAGAACCUUACCAGGUCUUGACAUCGUAUGCAUAGUCUAGAGAUAGAUGAAAUCCCUUCGGGGACAUAUAGACAGGUGGUGCAUGGUUGUCGUCAGCUCGUGUCGUGAGAUGUUGGGUUAAGUCCCGCAACGAGCGCAACCCUUACCAUUAGUUGCUACGCAAGAGCACUCUAAUGGGACUGCCGUUGACAAAACGGAGGAAGGUGGGGAUGACGUCAAAUCAUCAUGCCCCUUAUGACCUGGGCUACACACGUACUACAAUGGCAAUAAAACAGAGGGAAGCAAAACAGCGAUGUGGAGCAAAUCCCGAAAAAUUGUCUCAGUUCAGAUUGCAGGCUGAAACUCGCCUGCAUGAAGUCGGAAUUGCUAGUAAUCGCAGAUCAGCAUGCUGCGGUGAAUACGUUCCCGGGCCUUGUACACCCCGCCCCGU